GGCCCUGUCGUCUAGCCUGGUCUAGGACACAGGAUUUUCAUUCCUGGAACACGGGUUCGAAUCCCGUCGGGGCCG
rfam:Candidatus Wildermuthbacteria bacterium RIFCSPLOWO2_01_FTLL_48_29 rifcsplowo2_01_scaffold_18769, whole genome shotgun sequence.